rnacentral:lncRNA from 1 species
GAGAAUGAUGAGAUACAGCAAAUUGAAAAUUUAAAUCGACUCCAAAAAAAUCUUAGGUUAAAGAGCCCACCUCGACGCUUUAAUUCUCAUGCUCCUCUUAUCGCUCCCUAAGCUCAUAUUCUGAUGAAAAUUGAAGGGGAGAGAUAUCUCUGACCUGAUCCUUUGAAGGUCUCUCUAAAGAAGAGAGAUAAGUGAAAGUAUUGUCACUUCCACA